rnacentral:rRNA from 1 species
AUUGAACGCUGGCGGCAUGCCUAACACAUGCAAGUCGAACGAGUGGCGGACGGGUGAGUAAUGUCUGGGAAACUGCCCGAUGGAGGGGGAUAACUACUGGAAACGGUAGCUAAUACCGCAUACCAUCGGAUGUGCCCAUAUGGGAUUAGCUAGUAGGUGGGGUAACGGCUCACCUAGGCGACGAUCCCUAGCUGGUCUGAGAGGAGGACCAGCCACACUGGAAAGGAGACAAGGUCCAGACUCCUACGGGAGGGAGCAGUGGGCAAUAUUGCACAAUGGGCGCAAGUCUGAUGCAGCCAUGACGCGUGUAUGACGAAGGCCUUCGGGGUGUAAAGUACUUUCAGCGAGGAUGCGUUACUCGCAGAAGAAGCACCGGCUAACUCCGUGCCAGCAGCCGCGGUAAUUC